AAGCAGCUCAUCGCGGAAAUCAUACACUCAAACCCUUACCUAAUUUCUACCUUGGAAUUUGGAAGAAGCAUUGCUUAGUAUAAGCCUCGAACGUGAAACUGAACGGAGACGAGAGCGAUUGUAAAGAGAAAGCCUUGACCACGGUACUGAGCUGAAGCGGGACAUCUCUUAAAGGCGAAAAAAAAAUCAACGUGAUCCGUUUUAUCCUGUUCCAAGAUGACACUUGAGUCACCUGUCUCCGGAACUGGCAAUUCCAAAAGUCAGCGAUCCCAGAUCAGCAAGAAUGUUACAAAUUCUAUGAUUAAACGGAAAAACUCCGCUGGUUCUCAGGCGUCGUCUACAACAUCCUCAAAGACAGGAGCGAGUUCACUCACGUCAUCUGCCAUCGCUUAUACGUUGCUCAUGAAGUGAUUUAUUUUCAUGCCAAAAGAGAGGAGACAACAGAUGCUCUGAGGAGCACUACAAGAGGGAAAGAAGAGAAGGGAAAACCAUUAUUGAAAUGAAAAAUCUACCAAGCAAAGUGGAAAAAUGGGCAAGAACAUCUUUCGACAAACAUGAAAACUAGAAGGAAGACAAUGAGGAGGCAAGAAGACCAUUUACGAAAGACGGCAAAAUUAUGAAAUUUCCGGCUAAUUACACAAAUAACACGUUUUUCAUACGAUAUAUUAGUCUCUCUCUCUCUCUCUCUCUCUCUCUCUCUCUCUCUUUAUGAACUCGAAACCAUUUUAAUCUCAUUACGGUAAUAUUAUGAUUCAAGAAUAAUUCUCCUAGUCACUCAUAUUCGUCAUGUUAGCUUUUUUUUUAAUGUGAUUUAUUUAAUUUAUUUGUAAACAAAUAAACUAAAAUAUUCC